GACAGCUGUAAAAUGCUAACCCUGAAACUCAAAGAGCAGGUGGCUGGGACUAAGGGACUUAUUCUUGGGGGGUUUAAAUAGUGGAGGAUGGUGGGAAAAAGGAAGCGAAUAUUAGCAGCUGUGUCCCACACCAAAAAAAGAACAACUGCUAGGCGUUUGUGCCAUAACACCUGUUGAAGGCUGGCAAACUAAUGUCUACUGUGCUCUCUUUAUUAUUUAUUAUACAGAAGAAAAAAACAACUGCUGAUGGAAAAGAGAAAAAAAGAACAUGUUUCUCCAGAGGGCAAACCUAUGACUCCUAAAAUGAUGUUUCUUUACAUUCUGAUUUUUCUUUAAAGACCAGCUUCAUCUCCUCUUAAAUUACUAUUACUCAGUUUAUUAUGGCAAGAUUUAACACUGCAUAUCAUCCUAAGGACUCCCAUUCUUUGAUGUCUGUUUUGAAUUACAGCAGAUGAAAUGACAGUUUUAAAAGGAAAGGAAAAUAUAAAAAUAGUUUCUCUGAUACCCUCUUAGCCCUAUGUAAAGACAUAUGAUAUGAAUGAGGUGUAGGAGAGGCAGAAAGCUCUUAAAGAAAAGUAGGAGAAAUAAUCAGCCCAUGAUAACCAAAAAGACCCUCAUUCUUUUGCAGUGGCAGUGAGACCAAUUCCAGAGGUCAUUUGGAACCCCUCAAUUAAAGUGAGAAGCAGGUGAGAUUGAGUACAGUUCUGAGAUAAUAGUUUUAUA